rnacentral:snoRNA from 1 species
ACGACCUUACUUGAACAGGAUCUGUUCUAUAGGCUCGUACCUCUGUAUCCUUUAGCACAAAGGAGACAGGAUCUCGAGUCUGGUUGAUGCUCCACGACCUUGUGAUCAGAGCGUGAUUAACAGCUUCCUUGAUCCCUCGGGUCCAGCCGGAGCAGUAGAGGAUCGUUCUCAGCUUGGUGUUCAUCUGGGCCUGGGAUGGUCACAAGGUAGUCUGACAGACU